GCACACCCAGCGGCCCCCCCGCGCUCGCAGGCUACCUUAAAAAAAACUUUGUCGGAGCGGGGCUCCUCUCCAGCGCUCGGCCAGGCAGAGAAUCCCUCGGAAAUCCACAAAACGGGGGUCGGCUCCAAAAACUUGGGUGCCCCCCCCACCCCCCCCGCGCACCUCCCCAGGCGCACCCCGCGCGCGGCGGGGCCGGGCCGGGCGCACCCAUGGGUGCCACCGCGCCUCCCCCCGGCUCUCUCCUUCCCCCCUGCGGCGUGGAAAGAAAAAAAAACAAAAACCCCGAGAUCCGAGCAUCCUCGGCUGCCAGGGCGAGACAAAAGCCUCGGGAGAUGGGAGGCGAGGAAAUGUCCACCGGGAGGAGGAGGAGGAGGAGGAAGGCGGCUGCCGGGUGGGCAGCGAGCAGCCGGCGCCUGUCCCCGGCGGGUCCCCAACAGCACCGAAGCCCAGGCAGCUGUUCCUCGCCUCCUCCCUGCGUGCGCAGCCACAGACUCCUCAGAUGUGGACUAAUUGGAGAGAGUUCGGAGGGCAGCAAAGAGCGCACAGAGGGCAGCAAAACAACCUGUUGAAAAAAAAAGCCCCCAAGAGCUGGAUUUGUCUGGUCUGGAAAUCAGAAGGCAGAAGAGACGUGAUGCAGUCUUCAAUUAUGCAAAAGGGAAGGGAUGAGAGCAAAGAGUGCUCCAGCCCUCGUGGCAGCGCUGAGAGCUGCAGAGCCUGCCCCAAAAGCCAUAGGAUGCCGAGGAAAAUGAGUGCUGCUCUCCUGGAGAAAGCAGCUGCCAUCGCAUGGGAAAGCAGCAGACAAUCCUCACCCAGAAAGCUGUCCAGCAACAGAAACUUGUGAGACUGUUUUCAGGAGGGAAAACAGAGCUAUUUUCAGCCCGGGCAGCACUGAGCACCUCCAGGGUGAGCGAUGCUGCGGAGCUGGAAGCUGUGGAAGCUGCACCCCAAAGGAGAUGAUCCCUGAACACUGAAAUUGUCUUCUAUAAACAUAUAUGUAUAAACCUAUGUAUAAAUAUAUAAAAUUAUCCAUCGGGUAUUGCAGACAGUGAUAUCAAACACCUCCAGGAUGCUCUGGCCACUUUUUGUCGGUGGGGUUGGUGAUGGGACGAGCCCUGCCUGGUGCUACCUGGUGCCAGCACCACCCCGUGCCCAGGACCAGCACCAGCACUGCUCUCCAUGGCUGAGCUCCCUCCUGCGUGCCUUUUCCUGCUGCUCAUCCCUCUCUGGUGCCCAAGGUGUAAUUACCCCUCGUGUGUUUUAAGCGCAUCUGCCACCUGGAAACCACGCAGACCCCGUACCCUCGCCUUGCCCCCCUCCACCUGCACGCAGCCCCGGAGCUAGGCGCACAGACGUUUACCCACCGGUGUUUUCUCCCCCCCCCCCUGCUUGCGUCUGAGCUGCUUGACUCAAAUCUGAGCCGUUUCUCAGGGUCUGUCUCACAGCCCAGUCAACACGGAGGGAGCCGGUGCCAAAAACCCAGUUCCUUCGGAUCUGAUUGUUUGUUUUCCUCCCUUCCCAGUUUGGGAUUUUUGAAAGGGAGCCACACGAAACCAACUGCUCGCUGUUCACUGCGAAGCCUGGGGCUGCAUUUCAAUCGUUUGCCCGAGGAUCAGGUGGAUGGAGAGGGAAUUAGCUCCUCACAACAGCCCUGCGCCCGCACACGCUGCCCCUGGGGCCGUCGGCUCCCCUAAAACCACCCCAAACACCACCCCAGCACCUCCACCUCCUGCCCCCUUCAUCCCAUGCUGCUAACACUGCUGCUGUCUCCUUACCCAAAAUAUUAACUCAAGGCAGUCUGAGACGCUUCCCAAAACCCACCCUGUGAUGCUCCUCUGCUCACA
rnacentral:lncRNA from 1 species